CCAACGGCCCUCUUUAGGGCCACAAAUCACAUGAAUCCAUAAAUAU
rfam:Caenorhabditis briggsae complete genome, chrIV